UGCUAAUACAUGCAAGUCGAGCGGACCGAAAAGAAGCUUGCUUCUAUUCGGUUAGCGGCGGACGGGUGAGUAACACGUGGGCAACCUGCCCGUAAGACCGGGAUAACUUCGGGAAACCGGAGCUAAUACCGGAUAACACGAAAGACCGCAUGGUCUUUCGUUGAAAGGCGGCGAAAGCUGUCACUUACGGAUGGGCCCGCGGCGCAUUAGCUAGUUGGUGAGGUAACGGCUCACCAAGGCGACGAUGCGUAGCCGACCUGAGAGGGUGAUCGGCCACACUGGGACUGAGACACGGCCCAGACUCCUACGGGAGGCAGCAGUAGGGAAUCUUCCGCAAUGGACGAAAGUCUGACGGAGCAACGCCGCGUGAGCGAAGAAGGACUUCGGAUUGUAAAGCUCUGUUGUUAGGGAAGAACAAGUACCGCAGUAACUGGCGGUACCUUGACGGUACCUAACGAGAAAGCCACGGCUAACUACGUGCCAGCAGCCGCGGUAAUACGUAGGUGGCAAGCGUUGUCCGGAAUUAUUGGGCGUAAAGCGCGCGCAGGCGGUCCUUUAAGUCUGAUGUGAAAGCCCACGGCUCAACCGUGGAGGGUCAUUGGAAACUGGGGGUCUUGAGUGCAGAAGAGGAGAGCGGAAUUCCACGUGUAGCGGUGAAAUGCGUACAGAUGUGGAGGAACACCAGUGGCGAAGGCGGCUCUCUGGUCUGUAACUGACGCUGAGGC
rnacentral:rRNA from 1 species